rnacentral:rRNA from 1 species
UGGGGGAUAUUGCACAAUGGGGGAAACCCUGAUGCAGCAACGCCGCGUGAAGGAAGAAGGUCUUCGGAUUGUAAACUUUUGUCUUGUGGGAAGAUAAUGACGGUACCACAGGAGGAAGCUCCGGCUAACUACGUGCCAGCAGCCGCGGUAAUACGUAGGGAGCGAGCGUUGUCCGGAUUUACUGGGUGUAAAGGGUGCGUAGGCGGCUAGACAAGUCAGGUGUGAAAUACCGCAGCUCAACUGCGGGGCUGCACUUGAAACUGUAGAGCUUGAGUGAUGGAGAGGUAAGCGGAAUUCCUAGUGUAGCGGUAAAAUGCGUAGAUAUUAGGAGGAACACCAGUGGCGAAGGCGGCUUACUGGACAUUAACUGACGCUGAGGCACGAAAGCGUGGGGAGCAAACAGG